UCAUGGUCCUUAUGUCCAGGGCUACACACGUGUUACAAUGGCUAGUACAAAGGGAAGCAAGAUCGUAAAGGUGGAGCAAACCCCAUAAAGCUAGUCUAAGUUCGGAUUGAGGUCUGCAAUUCGACCUCAUGAAGCUGAAAUCGCUAGUAAUCGCGUAUCAUAACGACGCGGUGAAUACGUUCUCGGACCUUGUACACACCGCCCGUCACAUCAUGAGAGCUGUUUGUACCCGAAAUCAUCUUAGUCAACCUGUAAAGGAGGCGGAUGCCUAAGGUAUGUAUGGUGAUUGGGAUG
rnacentral:rRNA from 1 species